GAGACAGAGUCUCGCUCUGUCUCCCUGGCUGGAGGACAGUGGCACAAUCUCAGCUCACUGCAACCUGCGCCUCCCAGCUUCAAGUGAUUCUCGUGCCUUGCCUCUGGAGUAGCUGGGAUUACAGGCACCCGCCUCCAUGUCAGGCCGAUUUCUUUAUUUUUAGUAGAGAUGGGGUUUCACCAUGGUGGCCAGGCUGGUCUCAAACUCCUGACCUCAAGUGAUUGGCCCACCUCCAUUUCCCAAAGUGCUGGGAUUACAGGAGUGUCAGCCACUGCACCUGGCCUACAAAAACAACAAUCUUAUACAAAUUAUUUCAGAGAACCAAAAACCAAUUACCAACUUUUUUAUGAUACCAAAUUUUAACAGGGACAUUAUAUGGGGAAAACAUGCAGGCAAACCUUAGAGUUAAACGCAAACUAUGAGCAAAUAAAAUCUAUGAUACAGAUGAUUAAUAAUAUAUCACAACCAAGUUGGUUUAUCCAAGGAACACAAGGUUGGUUUAACAUUUAAUACGUAAAAUCAAUAUAAUUCACUACAGGAAUUAUGUACAUGAAGGAAAAGCAACUGAUAAAAUUCAACAUCUGUGUAUUAGAAAAUCUCUUAGCAAAUUACAAAUAAAAGGAAACUAACUUCAUCUACUAAAAAGUAUCUACAAACAACCUACUACUCCACAUCAUUCUUUUUUUUUUUUUUUUGAGAUGGAGUCUUGCUCUGUCACCAGGCUGGAGUGCAGUAGUGCAAUUUUGGCUCACUGGAACCUCCGCCUCCCAGGUUCAAGUGAUUCUCCUGCCUCAGC
rnacentral:lncRNA from 10 species